rnacentral:rRNA from 1 species
UAAUACGAAGGGGGCUAGCGUUGCUCGGAAUUACUGGGCGUAAAGCGCACGUAGGCGGGUUGUUAAGUCGGGGGUGAAAUCCUGGAGCUCAACUCCAGAACUGCCUUCGAAACUGACGAUCUUGAGUUCGGGAGAGGUGAGUGGAACUGCGAGUGUAGAGGUGAAAUUCGUAGAUAUUCGCAAGAACACCAGUGGCGAAGGCGGCUCACUGGCCCGAUACUGACGCUGAGGUGCGAAAGCGUGGGGAGCAAACAGG